rnacentral:rRNA from 1 species
UGAGGAAUCUUCGGCAAUGGGCGAAAGCCUGACCGAGCGACGCCGCGUGCGGGAAGACGGCCUUCGGGUUGUAAACCGCUUUUCUGUGGGGCGAGAACGGACGGUACCACAGGAAGAAGCCUCGGCUAACUACGUGCCAGCAGCCGCGGUAAUACGUAGGAGGCGAGCGUUGUCCGGAGUUACUGGGCGUAAAGGGUGCGCAGGCGGCGCUGUGCGGUGGACGGUGAAAUCUCCUGGCUUACCUGGGAGGGUGGCGUCCAGACGGCAGCGCUUGAGGGUCGGAGAGGGGCGUGGAAUUCCGGGUGGGGCGGUGAAAUGCGUAGAGAUCCGGAGGAACACCGACGGCGCAGGCAGCGCCCUGGACGACACCUGACGCUGAGGCACGAAAGCUGGGGGAGCAAACAGG